UACGUAGGGUGCAAGCGUUAAUCGGAAUUACUGGGCGUAAAGCGUGCGCAGGCGGUGAUGUAAGACAGUUGUGAAAUCCCCGGGCUCAACCUGGGAACUGCAUCUGUGACUGCAUCGCUGGAGUGCGGCAGAGGGGGAUGGAAUUCCACGUGUAGCAGUGAAAUGCGUAGAGAUGUGGAGGAACACCGAUGGCGAAGGCAGCCCCCUGGGCUGAGAUUGACGCUCAGGCACGAAAGCGUGGGGAGCAAACAGG
rnacentral:rRNA from 1 species